CAGUCGCCGCGGUAAAACGGAGGGUGCAAGCGUUAAUCGGAAUUACUGGGCGUAAAGCGCACGCAGGCGGUCUGUCAAGUCAGAUGUGAAAUCCCCGGGCUUAACCUGGGAACUGCAUUUGAAACUGGCAGGCUAGAGUCUUGUAGAGGGGGGUAGAAUUCCAGGUGUAGCGGUGAAAUGCGUAGAGAUCUGGAGGAAUACCGGUGGCGAAGGCGGCCCCCUGGACAAAGACUGACGCUCAGGUGCAAAAGCGUGGGGAGCAAACAGGAUUAGAUACCCCGGUAGUCCCUGUCUCUUAUAC
rnacentral:rRNA from 1 species